rnacentral:lncRNA from 1 species
ACAGAUGGAUAUAUCGAGAUCAUACACACAAAAAAAUAUAUAUAUAUAUAAAAAUAAAAAUCAAAACAAUUAAACUUUGCACAUUUCAAAAAAAUGAUAAGAGGCACAAUUUCAAACCUUAAUCUCUUCUCAAUUCAUAAUAUAAAAAUUUAAAAUAAUAAUUGAAGAAACCUUGAUGUUAUUUGACCAUCUUUACUCUUUUCACAAAGAUUUCUGCAUUAGACAUGCAUCACUUGCAGUCUUAUAUUAAAAAAACAAAAAAUGCAUUCUUUAAGAAAAUAUUUCAUCAAAUGUGCCUCAAUUGAAAAUUUAGGAAAGAAAGAACAGAUUCUAGGUCACAAGAUCAAAUGGACGAGUAGAUUUGGGACCAUGUUAUCACUAGAGAGGAUGGUAUCACCAGUGGCGUCACCAUGCACAUUCUAUUUGGCUUCUGUGCCAAUACCAUUAUUCUUCAUAUUCUCUGUGCAUUUCUUCUGUUCGGGUAUGCAGUAUCUGCAAUCUUGCCCAAUACACUAAUCAAAUGUGUUUAGUAUUUUUAAGAAAAAAAUACAAAGCAGAAUGGUUUGCACAGGAUGCUCACCAGUGAAAUAUCAUCAUCAUACAUGAUAGUGGGGAUGAAGGACUACUUUUUCGGUACCAAACAACAUCCAUUUAUUAUUGUUUUUUCAAACCUACAAUCUGAGUUUUAUCCCAUGAUGUAAAUACAUCUCUGUUUAUGCAUUAUUUACAAUAUGGCUCUGAAAUAACUAUUUCCACCAUCAAUUUGAUAGUUCCUUUCCUCAAUUUUAUGAUAAAUCUUUCUUACUUAAAUUAAUAACUGAUUGAUUCUUUAUCUUUGAAUGAUCUUUGCCAUAAAUUUUUCCAUCAAUUUUGUUUUUUUCUAGAUUCGAAAACAAAAAUACACAAAAACACUCUAAUCCCUGUGUUCGGCCUUUGUCAUAACUCUGAAAUUAUGACUUAAGUCUCAAAGUCGAGCAUGACAUGUAUUAAGCUAAACAGUUGAAUAAAAUUUUAGUAGUAGUUCUCAAAAAUUGUGCUGUGUUUGCUUUAUUUUUAUAUUAAAUGCAAUUAUAAAAAUUGAUAUU